AGCAACUCCAACAAGUCCUAAAGUUUCUUUUCCAUCUAUUUCUCAAAAUCGAUGUUGUACAUCACCUCAUAAUAGGUCUUAGGAUCAACUACUUGAUCCCUAUCUCCUACAAAGAACACUUCCUUUACAUCCUUUGAAAGCAUACCCAAGUAUCUUUCAUGAGGAUCGGAGACCUUAUUAGAUCCACGAGAUGGAAGAGAUCCUACGCUAAUUGGCU
rnacentral:lncRNA from 1 species